rnacentral:lncRNA from 1 species
CUCUUAACCAAUGAGUGUGGAGAUACUGGUAUGGCAUACAGGUGAGAUGUAAGGGUACAUCUGCACUGAACGUGACCGACUCUGGAGCUAUUUUUGCUGUCAAGAUUUGCUCUGAUGGAAUAUGGGUAUAAAUAUUUCUUCAACCUGAGACCGCCACAGUGACUUGCAAGCAACUCACUGUACUUAGGCACUGGACUACUUGAAUUUUUAAUUCAGUGAUGGAAGGCUACUGGGUGUAGUCAAGUAC